GGACUGUGGCUCAGCGGUAGAGUGCUCGCCUAGCACAUGCGAGGCCCUGGGUUCGAUCCUCAGCACCA
rnacentral:tRNA from 1 species